rnacentral:lncRNA from 1 species
GAAGCACAAUUAGUAGGAAUAGAGAUCAGGUGGGCAGUUGGAGCGCUCCUUAGAAAGGCACCAUAAGCUGAGGGAAGAGGAGGAACUGAGAACGACUCACCUCUGACUUAGGCAGGAAGAGCAUCAAGUGGAAAUAGGAGAAAGCCUGGCUACAAUGGGUUCAGGAGAGAGUGCUGUGGAGGAGCAAAGUAAGUGAGUUCCAGUAAAGGAUCCAGGCAGAGAAUGAGGAAGCGAAGAGAAGAGAAACAGGAGGAACUCAAAAAUCCUUUCUCGAUGAAUACACAAAUGGAUGAACAAAGCUUGAAGAAACAUUGAGGAGCUUUCUGGAUCCUAGGAAUGGUUGAAUUAUCCUUUCAUACAUGAGUUACCUCCCCUUCUAGAACAUUGCCUGUUUGGGUCCUAAAGCAAAGCAAAAAAAAAAAAAAAAAAAAGACGUAUAAGCUCUAAAUCAAUUCACUUUUGUAGAAAAAAUAAUAUAAGGGAUAAAUGUAUCUGACUAGAGUCACAUUUUUAUAAGAUACUGGAAAAAGACUUGGGCAGGUAAGGUGAUAGAGAUUUCAAAAAGCAUUAGGAAACAUUUUAUCUCUUAAAUUCACUCAGUGAAUGUUGGAUAUGGUUAUCACUACUCAUGUUUUCACUAACUUGUUUUGCAACUCGAGUUUCUUUACAGUUUGUGAUGAGGUUUUCUCUACUGUAAACAAGGCAGUGGGGAUACUGUGUCCACCUUAUGAGGUGGUGAUAUGACUUAAGCAACCUGGAUUUUUAUGUCCAGCAAGGAAAAUAAUAAUAUUUAAAUAUGGCACUUUGCACAUAGUGAUAUUUAAUAAAUAAUUAUUAAUUUCGUUUAAAGAUUGCAGCUAUUUCACAUGAAGUAAUAAAUAUUUAACAUUAUAAGCUAUCAGUCCGAGAAUGAACUGGAAAACAGUUACUAUCAGAUCAACUGGGGACAAUACUGUGAUUAUAUAUGAACAAGCUCUGACCAACAGAACAGAUAUCCGCUACUUACUCAAUUAAAAAAAUGGAAUUAUGUUUUUUUGCAAAAUACAUAAAUACAAAGUAAAUGCAAAAUACA